UGAGGAAUUUUCGGCAAUGGGGGAAACCCUGACCGAGCAACGCCGCGUGCAGGAUGACGGCCUUCGGGUUGUAAACUGCUUUUCUCUGGGACGAGCAAGGACGGUACCAGAGGAAUCAGCCCCGGCUAACUACGUGCCAGCAGCCGCGGUAAUACGUAGGGGGCAAGCGUUGUCCGGAGUUACUGGGCGUAAAGCGCACGCAGGCGGUCUGUUAAGUUUGGAGUGACAGUUCCUGGCUCAACUGGGAAAGUGCUUCGAAAACUGGCAGACUUGAGGGCUUCAGAGGGACACGGAAUUCCGGGUGGAGUGGUGAAAUGCGUAGAGAUCCGGAGGAACACCAAAGGCGAAGGCAGUGUCCUGGGGAGUACCUGACGCUCAGGUGCGAAAGCCAGGGGAGCGAACG
rnacentral:rRNA from 1 species